rnacentral:rRNA from 1 species
AGCGAACGCUGGCGGCAGGCUUAACACAUGCAAGUCGAACGGGCACUUCGGUGCUAGUGGCAGACGGGUGAGUAUCACGUGGGAACGUACCUUUCGGUUCGGAAUAAUACAGGGAAACUUGUACUAAUACCGGAUACGCCCUUUGGGGGAAAGAUUUAUCGCCGAUAGAUCGGCCCGCGUCUGAUUAGCUAGUUGGUGAGGUAAUGGCUCACCAAGGCGACGAUCAGUAGCUGGUCUGAGAGGAUGAUCAGCCACACUGGGACUGAGACACGGCCCAGACUCCUACGGGAGGCAGCAGUGGGGAAUAUUGGACAAUGGGCGCAAGCCUGAUCCAACCAUGCCGCGUGUGUGAUGAAGGCCUUAGGGUUGUAAAGCACUUUUGUCCGGGAAGAUAAUGACUGUACCGGAAGAAUAAGCCCCGGCUAACUUCGUGCCAGCCGCCGCAGUAAGAC